rnacentral:lncRNA from 1 species
CUUGUGAAUGUUUCCAUCACUACAAUUCCAAAACUGUACACAUCCUCUCUUGUUGAAACCAUUCCUUCCAAUCCAUACUCUGCAUUACAAAAAAUCGGCCUAGGCUGCCUGGGCAGGUCUGGGCGGCGCCAGGCGGGUCUGGGUGCCGGGGUGGGUUUGGUUCUUUUCUUUUGUUCUAAAGCCUACUGCCUAGUAAUUUUUCAAACUCAUGCACUGCAAGGCAGGUCUAGGCGGCGCUGGGAGGGUCUGGGCGGCGCUGAGAGGGUCUGGUCGACGCUAGGCGAGUCUGGGCGGCGCUAGGCGGGUCUGAGCGGGUCUAGGUGCCAGGGUGGUUCUGGUUCUUUUCUUUUGUUCUUUAAGCCUACUGCCUAACGAUUUUUCAAACUCAUGCACUGCAAGGCAGGUCUAGGCGGCGCUGGGAAG